rnacentral:rRNA from 1 species
CAGCCGCCGCGGGAAUACGAAGGGGGCUAGCGUUGCUCGGAAUUACUGGGCGUAAAGGGAGCGUAGGCGGACAUUUAAGUCAGGGGUGAAAUCCCAGAGCUCAACUCUGGAACUGCCCUUGAUACUGGGUGUCUUGAGUGUGAUAGAGGUAUGUGGAACUCCGAGUGUAGAGGUGAAAUUCGUAGAUAUUCGGAAGAACACCAGUGGCGAAGGCGACAUACUGGAUCAUUACUGACGCUGAGGCUCGAAAGCGUGGGGAGCAAACAGGAUUAGAUACCCGCGUAGUCCCUGUCUCUUAUAC